UACGAAGGGUGCAAGCGUUACUCGGAAUUACUGGGCGUAAAGGGCGCGUAGGCGGCCCGCUAAGUCGAACGUGAAAUCCCCAGGCUCAACCUGGGAACUGCGUCCGAUACUGGCAGGCUUGAAUCCCGGAGAGGGAUGUGGAAUUCCAGGUGUAGCGGUGAAAUGCGUUGAUAUCAAUAGGAACUCCGGUGGCGAAGGCGGCACGCUGGACCUCUUCUGACGCUGAGGCGCGAAAGCCAGGGGAGCAAACGGG
rnacentral:rRNA from 1 species